AGUGAAGUAUGUAAGAAACACAGUUACCAUAUUUUGUGGACUAUAAGAUGUACAUUUUCCCCCCUAAAUUUGGGAGGAAUAAUGGUUGUUAAUGCUGCUGUUGAGUUCUGUUUACAUUUACAUUGGUGAAAUAUUAUGUUAUUUAUGUUAUUAAAUAUUUUACCACAGUUUUUGCUUCAAAA